UCUGAACCUUUCUAGCGAUGCUAGGGAGCGUUUUCGAUGGAUACAACAACAAUAUCUCAUUUUCUGGUCAUUGCAGAUGAAUCAGUGAUCCCAUUCGAACCAUUAUACACGGAAAUCGAGGAUUUUUUGUUGUUUCGGUACCGGUUUUUACCCUUCGGCGCAUUAAGAAACCUUUUUACGUCAAUUUUAGAUAAUUUGUCGUCAAUUCACUAUGAAAUCAUUUGUGUAAAAUAAAAAAAGACUUUGAAACUGGCCCCCCCCCCUUUUUUUUUUUUUUUGUUUACCCUAGUAGUUUCUUGAUUAUCUUUUAAUUAAUAAAUAGAAAAUGCUUUCGCAAAAUGAGUUAUAUACAAAUAGUGUGCGAAUG
rnacentral:rRNA from 1 species